UACGGAGGAUGCAAGCGUUAUCCGGAAUGAUUGGGCGUAAAGCGUCCGCAGGUGGCAGUGCAAGUCUGCUGUCAAAGACCGGGGCUUAACUUCGGAAAGGCAGUGGAAACUGAACAGCUAGAGUAUGGUAGGGGCAGAGGGAAUUCCUGGUGUAGCGGUGAAAUGCGUAGAUAUCAGGAAGAACAUCGGUGGCGAAGGCGCUCUGCUGGACCAUAACUGACACUCAGGGACGAAAGCUAGGGGAGCGAAUGGG
rnacentral:rRNA from 1 species